rnacentral:rRNA from 1 species
UAGGGAAUCUUCGGCAAUGGGGGCAACCCUGACCGAGCAACGCCGCGUGAGUGAAGAAGGUUUUCGGAUCGUAAAGCUCUGUUGUAAGAGAAGAACGUGUGUGAGAGUGGAAAGUUCACACAGUGACGGUAACUUAUCAGAAAGGGACGGCUAACUACGUGCCAGCAGCCGCGGUAAUACGUAGGUCCCGAGCGUUGUCCGGAUUUAUUGGGCGUAAAGCGAGCGCAGGCGGUUUAAUAAGUCUGAAGUUAAAGGCAGUGGCUUAACCAUUGUUAGCUUUGGAAACUGUUAAACUUGAGUGCAGAAGGGGAGAGUGGAAUUCCAUGUGUAGCGGUGAAAUGCGUAGAUAUAUGGAAGAACACCGGUGGCGAAAGCGGCUCUCUGGUCUGUAACUGACGCUGAGGCUCGAAAGCGUGGGGAGCAAACAGG